rnacentral:ribozyme from 11 species
CUUGGAUAUACAGUCUUUCAAAUUUGUUUUUUCCACGUCUUGGUCGUUUGCUCCUUUUCAUUGUUUUCUUUUUCCUCUCUGCUUCUCUCUCCUCCUC